rnacentral:rRNA from 1 species
AACGAACGCUGGCGGCGUGCUUAACACAUGCAAGUCGAACGAGAAAGUCCCCGCAAGGGGAUGAGUAAAGUGGCGAACGGGUGAGUAACACGUAGGUAAUCUGCCCUUCAGCUUGGGAUAACUUCGCGAAAGCGGGGCUAAUACCAGAUGAUAUUCGGGAGGCACAUGCUUCCCGGAUCAAAGGUGGCCUCUGACUCAAGCUAUCACUGAAGGAUGAGCCUGCGGCUGAUUAGCUAGUUGGUAGGGUAAUGGCCUACCAAGGCUACGAUCAGUAGCCGGCCUGAGAGGGUGAUCGGCCACACUGGAACUGAAACACGGUCCAGACUCCUACGGGAGCAG